GAUGAACGCUGGCGGCGUGCCUAAUACAUGCAAGUAGAACGCUGAAGCUUGGUGCUUGCACCGAGCGGAAGAGUUGCGAACGGGUGAGUAACGCGUAGGUAACCUGCCUCUUAGCGGGGGAUAACUAUUGGAAACGAUAGCUAAUACCGCAUAAAAGUCGACAUUGCAUGAUGUUGACUUGAAAGGUGCAACUGCAUCACUAAGAGAUGGACCUGCGUUGUAUUAGCUAGUUGGUGAGGUAACGGCUCACCAAGGCGACGAUACAUAGCCGACCUGAGAGGGUGAUCGGCCACACUGGGACUGAGACACGGCCCAGACUCCUACGGGAGGCAGCAGUAGGGAAUCUUCGGCAAUGGACGGAAGUCUGACCGAGCAACGCCGCGUGAGUGAAGAAGGUUUUCGGAUCGUAAAGCUCUGUUGUAAGAGAAGAACGAGUGUGAGAGUGGAAAGUUCACACUGUGACG
rnacentral:rRNA from 1 species